rnacentral:rRNA from 1 species
UCGAGAAUCUUCGGCAAUGCGCGCAAGCGUGACCGAGCGACGCCGCGUGUGGGAUGAAGGCCUUCGGGUUGUAAACCACUGUCAGUUGGGAGGAAAUCCUUGGGGGUUCUCCCCCUUGGUUGACCUAUCUUCAGAGGAAGGACGGGCUAAGUUCGUGCCAGCAGCCGCGGUAACACGAACCGUCCGAACGUUAUUCGGAAUCAUUGGGCUUAAAGGGUGCGUAGGCGGCGCGGUCAGUCGGGUGUGAAAUCCCUCGGCUCAACCGAGGAAUUGCGCCCGAUACUGCCGUGCUUGAGUGAGACAGAGGCGAGUGGAACUGAUGGUGGAGCGGUGAAAUGCGUUGAUAUCAUCAGGAACACCAGUGGCGAAAGCGGCUCGCUGGGUCUCUUCUGACGCUGAGGCACGAAAGCUAGGGUAGCGAACAGGAUUAGAUACCCCCGUAGUCC